GCUCCAUCCACCUCUGUGCCUACAUCAGUUCAUAAGCUGCGACCAGGAGACAUCAAGGUGGUGGCAGCACUGGGAGACUCAAACACUGCAGCAGUUGGAGCCAAGGCAAAGAACGUGUUGCAACUCAACACGCAGUAUAAAGGAG